GAGCGGGUGUAGCAAUACACCAGCGGCAGACGGGUGAGUAACGCGUGGGAACGUACCUUUUGGUUCGGAACAACCCAGGGAAACUUGGGCUAAUACCGGAUAAGCCCUUACGGGGAAAGAUUUAUCGCCGAAAGAUCGGCCCGCGUCUGAUUAGCUAGUUGGUGAGGUAAUGGCUCACCAAGGCGACGAUCAGUAGCUGGUCUGAGAGGAUGAUCAGCCACAUUGGGACUGAGACACGGCCCAAACUCCUACGGGAGGCAGCAGUGGGGAAUAUUGGACAAUGGGCGCAAGCCUGAUCCAGCCAUGCCGCGUGAGUGAUGAAGGCCCUAGGGUUGUAAAGCUCUUUUGUGCGGGAAGAUAAUGACGGUACCGCAAGAAUAAGCCCCGGCUAACUUCGUG
rnacentral:rRNA from 1 species